rnacentral:lncRNA from 1 species
UUUCUUCAGGUUGAAGGGAAAGAAUACCAGAGGAAAACUUGAAUCUUCAGAAAGGAAUGGCAUCAUUGGAAAUGGCUUUUGAACCCAGGCUGAAUCACCACUGGCUUUCCUAGGGCUCCAGGCUGCAGAUGGCAGAUCAUGGGACUUCUUGGUCUCUACAAUUACUGUUAUGCUGAUCCAUUAUAUUCAUGAUAUCAUGAAGAUCUGAGGUAAAAAGGAGAAAACGGUGAGAAUGGUGGAAGCCUUAAGAAGGUAUAUGUGCACCAGUGGGCAGAAGAAAUCCCUACAGAAUUUCAGCAGCCGGCCAAAAUGAUUUUCUACCAAAUAAAAAAAGGUGACCUUCACUCUUCAAAAUUAUCAAAAGAAGAAUGAGGAACUGUUCCAGAUUAAAGACAUGACAACCAAACAACAUGAUUCUGUACUGGAUCCUUCACUGAGCUGGGGUGUGUUUUGUGGCACUCUGAAAAACCAGAUGACUGCACUGUGAUGUGAACUGCACUGAAGUCAGAUGAGUAUCCCUGUAGGUCACCUGCAGCCUGCAUUGCCA